GUCGAGACGAGUGUUUUACGGGGGCGAGAGAAGGACAAGUGAUGAGACGAAGACCGAUUUGAACGUACUGAUUCGAAAUCUGAUAUCGAACAAAGGAAAAAAGAAAAGCGAAACUAGCGAGGGUCUUCUCUUGUUGC
ensembl:ncRNA C15H9.12 ncRNA